GAUGAACGCUGGCGGCGUGCCUAAUACAUGCAAGUCGAGCGAACAGACGAGGAGCUUGCUCCUCUGACGUUAGCGGCGGACGGGUGAGUAACACGUGGAUAACCUACCUAUAAGACUGGGAUAACUUCGGGAAACCGGAGCUAAUACCGGAUAAUAUAUUGAACCGCAUGGUUCAAUAGUGAAAGACGGUUUUGCUGUCACUUAUAGAUGGAUCCGCGCCGCAUUAGCUAGUUGGUAAGGUAACGGCUUACCAAGGCGACGAUGCGUAGCUGACCUGAGAGGAGGAUCAGUCACACUGGAACUGAGACACGGUCCAGACUACGACGGGAGGCCGCAGUGGGGAAUAUUGGACAAUGGGCGAAAGCCUGAUACAGCCAUGCGGCGUGUGUGAAGAAGGUCUUCGGAUUGUAAAGCACUUUAAGUUGGGAGGAAGGGAAGUAAGUUAAUACCUUGCUGUCUUGACGUUACCAAAAGAAUAAGCACCGGCUAACUUCGUG
rnacentral:rRNA from 1 species